GCUGGUGUUCUGCUCAGUGGUAGAGAGCAUGCUUGUUACAUAUGAGGCUUGGGGUUCAACCCUCAGCACCAGAA
rnacentral:tRNA from 1 species